UACAGAGGUCUCAAGCGUUGUUCGGAUUCAUCGGGCGUAAAGGGUGCGUAGGUGGCGCGGUAAGUCGGGUGUGAAAUUUCGGAGCUUAACUCCGAAACUGCAUUCGAUACUGCCGGGCUUGAGGACUGGAGAGGAGACUGGAAUUUACGGUGUAGCAGUGAAAUGCGUAGAUAUCGUAAGGAAGACCAGUGGCGAAGGCGGGUCUCUGGACAGUUCCUGACACUGAGGCACGAAGGCCAGGGGAGCAAACGGG
rnacentral:rRNA from 1 species